GGGACCCCAGAGGGAAGGCUCUGGAACACUCUUCAUUGCUGCAGCAGCGCUGAUUGCCAGUGAGAGCCAUGGAAAUGCUCUGCUCCUGCUGUUAAACACUUUGGAGAUGCUGACACAACCAGGGUCCUGUGAGCCACCUCUUCUGCAAGGAAUGGAAACUGGAAAUCAGCUGAGGGAAGAGCAGGAAACCAUUGUUCCACAAAUCCUUUCUGGAAUUUCCAGCUCGAGGAGUGUUUCUGGAGGUGGCACUGCUGCGUGUUGGUAAGGACACACAAGCACCUCCAUCCUUUGUGACAGCCCAACCUCUGCCUUGGCUGCCCUCCCCAAAAAGCU
rnacentral:lncRNA from 1 species